UUUUCCUGUCCUACAGCCCUUAGGAUGUGAGCAAUUUGCUCCCUUUACUUACGGACAUAAAUUCCCUCAAUGUUAACUGAUUGGCGUAUCAUUUCUGCCAGAGGUUCCAUUGCCAACACAAAUAAAAGUGGCGACAAUUGACAUCCCUGUCUCGUGCCAUUAGACAAUUCAAAUGCUUCAGACAUGAAUCCAGCCACCGAAACUCUAGCUGUAGGCCUGCAAUAUAAUGCAACCACAGCCCUGAUGAAAGGAUCAGGCAAAUUGAAACGCAACAGUACCUCCCUAAGGAGGCCUUGAAGUAAGUGGAGCAGAGGUUUCGGGAGAAGCAGGUUCUGGAUUUGGCAAACUUUGAAGGAUUUCCAUACCUUCCUCCGGUGAUGUGAUUGUAUAGCGUUGUCCAUCCAAACGAAAAAGUAUUUUGACAGGAAUACCCCAUCUAUAUUUGAUGUUCCUCCUUCGUAAU